rnacentral:misc_RNA from 1 species
UGGAAAGAGGAGCAAAGCAAUUACCUUUCGGUAAAUCAACGUGAAGAAACCAAAAAUCUCUAGAUGAUGGAUCUAACUUUCUUGAUGCUUUUCAAGCAUCAACCCCUCUUUAUCCAACUUAACACUCCUUGAGCUGGAAUGCAAAUAAUGGAAUACUGGUAGAGAAUGUUGUGCAGUUCGGCUUUUGGUCUCUGAAAGGAUAUCCUUUGGG